rnacentral:rRNA from 1 species
AGCCUACGGGGGGCAGCAGUGGGGAAUAUUGCACAAUGGGGGAAACCCUGAUGCAGCGACGCCGCGUGAGUGAAGAAGUAUCUCGGUACGUAAAGCUCUAUCAGCAGGGAAGAAAAAAAGUCUUUGGCUUUGGACGGUACCUGACUAAGAAGCCCCGGCUAACUACGUGCCAGCAGCCGCGGUAAUACGUAGGGGGCAAGCGUUAUCCGGAUUUACUGGGUGUAAAGGGAGCGUAGACGGCAGCGCAAGUCUGGAGUGAAAUGCCGGGGCUCAACCCCGGCACUGCUUUGGUAACUGUGCAGCUA